rnacentral:lncRNA from 1 species
GGCCAUCGAGUCAUUAAAAAAGCCCACAACAAAAAUGCCGCCUCUCCUGCAUUAACCUCGAAUUUGGGGCCCACCCACUAUAAUUUUCGCGCAAAAUUUCCUUUUACCCGACGGUUUCUGUUACUGAGCUUUCCCGGGAAAAAAAUAAAUAGAUAAACUAAUAAAGAGAGGAAAACGUUUAAAUAAAAAAAGAAUAUUAACUCAAUAAUUUAACCAAAACUCAAACCAGAAUCUAUUCCCCUUUUCUUUAUCUCUAGAGUAGGGUUCCUCUGAUCUGAGUAAUAAUUGUAAUCGGCUAUGGACGAUCCCACGGAAAGUCCGCAGCUGAAUCUCCCACCGACAAUGUCGCUUCAACCACUGACCCCACCGUCGGAUCACAUCAGCCGCAUGAUCAACGCCAACCACCAUCAGUCGCCGUCGCGAGCAAUUUACUCCGACAGGUUCAUUCCCAGCAGAUCUAGCUCAAAUUUCGACCUUUUCAACAUCUCGCAGCCGUCGCCCAACUCUCCGGCUGUUGCCGACUCCCACAAGGACGAUAACUCCGGGACCUUCUUCCAAUUAUAUUUACUUGCUGGCCGUCGAUGAGGGGGCUACCAUAAACUCAAUUAACCAUGAUAAUUUUCAAAUAAUGAAUUGGAAUUAUAAUACAUGUAACGUGUGCAUAGGUGCAAAAAGAUUGCAGCAAAUGGAAAUUAUUUGUGUUUAAUGUUUAAAUAAUGGGUUUUUAGUGGUAGGGGAGUGAGUAAAGUUGAAAUAAAUUUGUUUAACUUCUUCAAGACUUCGAUCUUGAAUGGGCAGUCUAUUAGAUUUAAUUAAAUAUGUUUUAUCUGUAAAUGGAAUUACAAUAAUAAAUUAUGUUAUAAAUAUGAAAAAAUGAGUUUUAAGAGAUUUUAGAAGGGUGUCAAUAAUUCAACUCAUUUAAAACUACAGUCCACAAAAUCCAAAUCCGUUGUCCUAAAUCCUAAUUCUAUUAGUCUAUAAGACAUACGAUUCGAUCUCUAAUUUUUAAACCGAUCUAUAAUUAUAUUUGGCCAUCGAGUCAUUAAAAAAGCCCACAACAAAAAUGCCGCCUCUCCUGCAUUAACCUCGAAUUUGGGGCCCACCCACUAUAAUUUUCGCGCAAAAUUUCCUUUUACCCGACGGUUUCUGUUACUGAGCUUUCCCGGGAAAAAAAUAAAUAGAUAAACUAAUAAAGAGAGGAAAACGUUUAAAUAAAAAAAGAAUAUUAACUCAAUAAUUUAACCAAAACUCAAACCAGAAUCUAUUCCCCUUUUCUUUAUCUCUAGAGUAGGGUUCCUCUGAUCUGAGUAAUAAUUGUAAUCGGCUAUGGACGAUCCCACGGAAAGUCCGCAGCUGAAUCUCCCACCGACAAUGUCGCUUCAACCACUGACCCCACCGUCGGAUCACAUCAGCCGCAUGAUCAACGCCAACCACCAUCAGUCGCCGUCGCGAGCAAUUUACUCCGACAGGUUCAUUCCCAGCAGAUCUAGCUCAAAUUUCGACCUUUUCAACAUCUCGCAGCCGUCGCCCAACUCUCCGGCUGUUGCCGACUCCCACAAGGACGAUAACUCCGGGACCUACACGGCGCUGCUCCGGGCUGCACUCUUCGGUCCCGAGACGCCCGAAAAAAAGGAUGUGUUGGGGCCGCCAUCGGGCAGGAAUAUUUUUAGAUUUAAAUCGGAGACUAGGCGGUCCUUGCACUCGCUUUCGCCUUUUGGGUUCGAUGAUGACGUGGCGUCUGGUGUCAGUCAUAGCCCAGUCAAAGCUCCCAGGAAGGUCCCUAGGUCGCCUUAUAAAGUGGGUACCUUUAAGAUUCUAUUAAUGUGUAAAUUUUAUUAUUAUUAUUAUUAUUAUUAUUAUUAUUAUUAUUAAUUUUUUUGCAAAAUAUUUAUAUUUUUUGUGUACGUGCAUGUGAGUUAGAUUCUGGAUGCACCAGCAUUGCAAGAUGAUUUUUACUUGAACUUAGUGGACUGGUCGGCGCAUAAUGUGUUGGCUGUGGGGUUGGGGAAUUGUGUGUAUUUGUGGAAUGCUUGUAGCAGCAAGGUGAGUGUUUUCCUUUUUCUAUUUAUGUGAAUUUGUUUGUUUUAUUGCAUUAUCUUUUGAAUUUUUUCUUCCUAUUAAAAUAUAAUUUGAAUGAUGAUGGAUGUAGGUGACAAAGUUGUGUGAUUUGGGGAUUGAUGAUAGUGUCUGUUCAGUGGGUUGGGCGAAUCG